CCUUUUCAUGACUGUAUAACUGCCAUACGGUAGAUGCCAUCGUGUAUAUCGCUGAAAAUGUCGUCUAUAAAGAUAUUUAUUCUGUUCCAUCUAGCCGCGCUAUUGCUUAUACACGGAGCCGAUGCAGAGGCCCGUGACACCAGCAGGUGCCCCGCCUACCCGCUGAACCUGGCCUGGGGGUGCGCCUACCAGGACAUGUGCUUCUCUUUCAAACUCGGCAACAGUCGCUUGGAUUUCCUGGGGUUCGGCUGUCCGGAGGGAACGAUCUGCUGUCCCGGGCCGUGUGGUCAUCGAUGUUUGACCCCCGUCUAAAUACCCAAGCCUACCCGAAGAUGACAAAACACGUCUGCCUGAGGAGACCCCUGGCGACAGAGACAAGCAUCGCAUCGUUACUCUCCUAUAUGGAAUAAUGUCUUACUUUUCUGGAAUACGUACGUCACAUAAGUAAACAUGAAAAAAACACGG